rnacentral:rRNA from 1 species
GAUGAACGCUGGCGGCGUGCUUAACACAUGCAAGUCGAACGGAAAGGCCUCUGCUUGCAGGGGUACUCGAGUGGCGAACGGGUGAGUAACACGUGGGUGAUCUGCCCUGCACUUCGGGAUAAGCCUGGGAAACUGGGUCUAAUACCGGAUAGGACAAUGGUUUGGAUGCUGUUGUGGAAAGUUUUUCGGUGUGGGAUGAGCUCGCGGCCUAUCAGCUUGUUGGUGGGGUAAUGGCCUACCAAGGCGUCGACGGGUAGCCGGCCUGAGAGGGUGUACGGCCACAUUAGAACUGAGAGACGGGCCAGACUCCUACGGGAGGGAGCAGUGGGGAAUAUUGGACAAUGGGCGCAAGCCUGAUGCAGCGACGCCGCGUGGGGGAUGACGGCCUUCGGGUUGUAAACACCUUUCGCUAGGGACGAAGCGUUUUUGUGACGGUACCUAGAGAAGAAGCACCGGCUAACUACGUG